UACGUAGGGGGCGAGCGUUUGUCCGGAAUCAUUGGGCGUAAAGCGCGUGUAGGCGGUCCGGUAAGUCCGCUGUGAAAGUCCAGGGCUCAACCCUGGAAGGCCGGUGGAAACUGUCGGGCUAGAGUCCGGAAGAGGCGAGUGGAAUUCCCGGUGUAGCGGUGAAAUGCGCAGAUAUCGGGAGGAACACCAAUGGCGAAGGCAGCUCGCUGGACGGUACUGACGCUGAGACGCGAAAGCGUGGGGAGCAAACAGG
rnacentral:rRNA from 1 species